UACAGAGGUCUCAAGCGUUGUUCGGAUUCAUUGGGCGUAAAGGGUGCGUAGGCGGCGCGGUAAGUCGGGUGUGAAAUCUCGGAGCUUAACUUCGAAACUGCAUUCGAUACUGCCGUGCUUGAGGACUGGAGAGGAGACUGGAAUUUACGGUGUAGCGGUGAAAUGCGUAGAUUUCGUAAGGAAGACCAGUGGCGAAGGCGGGUCUCUGGACAGUUCCUGACGCUGAGGCACGAAGGCCAGGGGAGCAAACGGG
rnacentral:rRNA from 1 species